CACAGGAGGGGGAGGGGUCAGCUGGCAAACAAAAGGGUCUCAAAGUGGGGAGGUACACGUUCUCCCUGCGUCCAGACCGGCCUACACAGGCAAGGGGGACUGUGCGACCCUGGGCACGAGUUCCGGAAGUGACCGCCAAUCACACCAUGCCCUUGCCCACCCCUUCACCAGGCCUCGGCCGGACCUCACAGCUUGGACAGCGGACCAAACCAAGUCUUGGGUCCUAAUGGGAACUGGAUAACUGGAAGCAACCACUGAACGAGGGGCGAGGGGAAACACUUAGGUUUUCAUCACUGACUAUGAAGUCAGCUGUAGGUGUUUCAUAGACGUCUGUUAUUAGGACCUGGGAGAAUCUGCCUUGGGGUUACCUAAUUCUUGGAGAUAAAGAAUGGCUUGUCUACAGGCAUAUCUUUGACAUCUGAAUCAAGCAACACCAAGCCAUAGGUGGUGAGUGUUUUUGCUUCUUUGCACACUACCUGCCAUGAUGUGCUCCUUUGUCAGAAGUCCAAAAGCAAGAAGGCUGACUGAUAAUACAUUGGAAUCUCCAGAACUGUGAGCCAAAAUAAACCUUUCUGUUUAUAAGUUGUCUUAGCUACUUUAUUAGAGAAAGACAACUAACACACUCUGUUAAGAAAUCUGUUUGGGAAGAAAGUAUGUCCUGGAUACACAUACACAGAAUGCAGGUUAAGAAGCUUGCAGUGAAAUUUAAACCUGACCCUGAAGUAUGAAGUGUCAGAAAAGACCUCAAAGAAGAAAAGGGAUCUGAGUGAGUCUCUCAAAUGUGGGUUGGAUUUGGAAAGGAGGCAAUGGAAAGGCCAUUGCAGUAGGAAAGGACAACCUGAUCAAAGGAAGCAAAGAUGAUUUGUGCUGGGGAACAAUGAUUAAAUCAUCAUGAGCAAGGUGGAAAUUACUGAGAUGAGACAAAGGUGCAAGAGAAAGUAAAUAAAAGGGAUACAAAUAAGAAAGGAAUAAGUUAAAUUAUCCUUGUUUACAGAUGAAAUGCCCUAUAUUUAGAAAGAUCCACUAAAAGACUUUUAGAGCUAAUACUCUCAGAAAAGUAGUAGGAUAAAAAAUCAAAAUAGCUUUUCUGUACACCAAUAAUGAACUAGCUGAGAAAUAAAUGAGGAGGACAAUUCUAUUCAUAGUACUUUAAAAACCUAGCCACAGAGGUGAAAGACCUCCAUGAUACAAACUGCAGAGUACUGAAGAGUGAAACUGAAGACAUUAAAGGAUGGAAAGACUACCCAUGCCAUGGACAGGCAGAAUUAAUGUUAAAAUGAUCCCACUACCAAAAGCGAUAUACAAAUCCAUUGAAAUUCCCAUCAAAGCAUCAGUGCUACAAUACCAAUGAUACAAUCAGUAUAGAAGCCCCUCAUAAAAUUGAAAAUGGAGCUAUCAUUUGAUCCAGCCAUACCACACCUUGUUAUAUAUAUAUAUAUAUAUAUAUAUAUAUAUAUAUAUAAAAGAAUUAAAGUCACUAUAGUGAUACCUGCAUACCCAUUUUUGUUGUAGCACAAUAUACAAUAGCCAAGAUGUGAAACCAGCCUUGAUGCUCAUCAAUGGAUGAAUAGAUAGAUAAAUGCUAUAUAUAUUAUUCAGUCAUAAAAAAGAAUGAAAUUUUAUCAUUUAUAGAAAAAUGGGUGAAUCUAGAGAUCAUGAUAUGGAAUGAGGGGGAUUCUGGGAAGAUGGCAGAUUGAUAGGUAGCAGGGUAGAGAGCCUCUCUGAGAAAAACAACUCAGAUGCUAGAACUUAACACCAUGGAGAAGACCAGACAAAAGGAUUCUCACGACCCAGGAAGAAACCGAGGGAAAAAAAAAAAGAAAAGGAAAAGAAAAAAAAAGAAAGGAAAAACAUGGACGAAAGGCUGGAACCAGACUUGCACUCACUGGAGCUGAUCCUGCACUUUGCUGGGUGCACCUUGGAGUUGGACGACUCAUGGUCACACUGAAGUCGUGGCCGCUGAAAUCCGGGGUUGGUGAGCCUGGGCCCUUGGUGGGAGGAUGUGGUGCCAUGGAGAGCAAAACCAACAGGGAGAGCUGCACUAACCCAUGGUGAGUGCUAGGGAUUGGGUCCCGUGGAAAGGGUGAUGUUCAUUCCACUGUCUUCCCUGUUCAUGGAGGCCUCUCUGCUACUGUUGCUAGAAUCCUGGUAUUUUUUCUCUCUCUCUAGAAUGUCCUUCAGUAUUUCUUGUAGGGUUGGAAUGGUGAUCACGAAUUCCCCCAGCUCCUCUUAGUCAUGGAAGCAUCUUGUUUCUCCAUUAAUUUUGAGAGACAGUUUUGCAGGGUACGUCAAUCUGGAUUGGAGUUAUUUUCUUUCAGGACUUGGAAUACUUUGCUCCAAGUUCUUCUUGGUUUGAUAGUUUGUGUCAAGAAGUCUGUCACGAUUUUGAUGGGUUUUCCUUUAUAGGCGAUGUUUCUUUUCUCUGACAGUUUUAAUAUUCUGUUCUUGUGAUGAAUUUCUGGGAUCUUGAUUAUUAUAUGACUGGGUGUAGAUCUGUUUUGGUUGUAGCUGGCUGGAGUUCUGUAUGCCUCAUAUAUCUGAAUAUCAUUUUCUUUUUCUAUGCUUGAGAAGUUUUCCUUAAUUAUUUCUGUGAAUAGCCUUUGUAUUUCAUUUGUGUUUACUCCUGCUUCUUCGUUCACAUUUUUUAUCUUAAGUUAUACAUCCUCUUGUUGUCUUCUAGCCUUUGCAUUAUUACUUCCUGGUUGCUUGUUAUUUUUAAGAGAUCUUUCCUUUUACAAUCAUGCAUUACAAAUCUAUCUUCAAGUUUUGAAAGUCUAACUUUAGUUUCUGUCCAGGAAUUUUGCCAGCUUUCAGUAGAGUUUUUAAUUUCCUGGUAAUCUCUUUGAAUCUGUUUCAUAUAUUCUAGAUUUUGUUUAUAUUCUUUAUCAAAGGUUUCUCUCUUUUUUCUGGGUUCCUCCAUUCUUCCAUCUGUGUUUUCUUGAGAGGUGCUUAGCACUUGUUUUAUUAAUCUUUUUGUAUCUUGCUUCACUUGAAUUAGAAUUUCAGUUUUAAGUUCGUAUAUGAGGUCAUGAAAGUAUUUCUUUAUGUCCACUGAUGCUGUGUCUGAUGUUACAUAUUUGCUGCCCUCAAUCUGGUCUGUAUUCAGCUCUCCUGGACUUAUUUUCCCUGGGUCAGUGGCUGGAGGCUUUUUCUUGUUUCUUUCUCUUGUCAUGUUUCUGGUUUCUUCCAGACAGUUGUAUGGUGGAGGUCUCAGGCCCUUUCCCUAUUGUUUAUAAUUUUUCUGAAGCAUGCUGGCUAGGGCACUGCUGCCCUGUCCGGUAUACUGUUGAUCUGUGAGCUCCAUGCAGGGACAUUGUGGGCUGGCCCCUCUCCGCUGAGCCAGUCAACCUGCGAGUGUCUUUAGCACGUUAGUCUGUGCCGUGCGGAUGUCACAGGUUCAGGACAGUUUUGUCCCGGGCUAUUGGGUCCUGACCCAAGCAGAUCCAACUCUUUGAGCCAGAAGCAGCCGACUGACGCCAAUGGGAUCCAGGUUCAGGCCUGUCCUGCCCAACUCCAAUGUGUCUGAUCUCUGGUUAUCUUGCUUUGGAAUCUGUGUCUCUUACAUUGUUAUCUUAUGAUCUGUUUUGUUCUGCUUUGUUAUGUUUAAUUUUACCCUCUUUAAAAAGAAAAAAAAAGAAGACAUUGUGGGCUCCAAUAGUAGUAUGAUUUUAAAACUACACACAUCACAGUUUUCAGUAAUCCUUGCCCUGGUCUCAGUUCACUCCUCCUGCCUCCCUCACCUGGGCUUUCUCUUCUCUUCUCUAGAUGCCAGCCUCACCUCCCACCUUUCAGUCUCCUUUAGCCUUGGGGCCUCCCACACCCUGUUCUCUCUGCCCAGAACGUUCUUAUUAUUCUGCAUGGUUGGCUCACUUUCUCCUUCGAGUUCCUGCUAAUAGAAGACUCUAAUCACUCCAAGUAUGUCUCUUGCCAACCUUAUCAUGUCACCUGAUAUGUUUCCUUCCUAGCAUUUAUCACAUUUUCCUGUUUGUUUUAUUACAUGUUUGCAAUGCAUAGUGAAUGUAUUUAUGGUUGAGGGUUGGUACAUACCACAGCUUAACCCUUAUAUUCUUCCUUCCCCUCUCUUUACUCUUUCUCUUUCCCUAGAUCACCUUCCAUCUCCAAGAGAUCCAACUCUCUAUUUGCAACCAGCUGUCUUUUUUUUUUUUGUUCUUUUGAGUUUUUAUAUUCGUAUGUGAGAGACCAUGCAAUAUUUAACCUUCUAUGUCUGAUUUCAUUUAGCAUUACGGUUUUAAGAUGCAUCCAUUUCUCUCCAAAUGCCUAAAAUUUAUCUUUCUUUAUGGCUGAGUAGUACUCUAUUGUAUAUGUAUCCCACAUCUUAUCUAUUUAUUCAUCUGGCGAUGGACAUAUCACAACUUAUAGUAAUGUCUUUAUCUGUCUACUUGUUUUUUGUCUUUCUCACUGAAUUGUAAAACUUUAAAAAAAUUAUCUCCAAGCCCCUAGCAUCUAACAUAAUCGUUGAAAUAAAUAAAUAAAUAAGCAAGAAAGUAGACUCUAGAGAUCAAUGUUGUAUCACGUCUACAAGGUAGAGAGAGCUCUAGAUGUCUUUAAUAAAAGCUUUCUGUGGGGAAAAUCAAGAUGUUGCAUGUGGGUCAUCAACAGACAGGGUGAUGACAGGCAGGAGCAGGAUCAGGCUUGGGACCAGUCACACAGCCUGGGCUUUCUCUCUCCCUCAGGUCCAGAUCCAGAUAAAAUACAGUAAGUUUUCGCUGUGCUGGUGACAAGUUGAUGCAGACCUACAGGAUGUGUAUGCUACAUUUUCAUUGUAGUUUCUGCUCAUGUUUAUAUUUUUACAAAUCUUUACAUUAACAGUAAAGUAGGCAGAGCAGAAGUCACUAUUUUCUUGGGCAGAGACAAGAAAGCCUGGUCAGUGUGUUACCCAAAUUCUUGUGGAUAACAAGGACAACGCGAAUCAAAGUCCAAGACAUCUGUCUCCAGAUUCAGAGCUCUGGCAGGUGUGGUGGUACACAUCUGUAACCCCAGCUCUUUGCACUCCAUUUCCAUUUAGCCUGUGUUUUCACAUACUUACUACAGGACAAAUACGUGGAGGGAGGGGUGCAGGUCACACGAAUAUAAAACAGAAUCCCUGGACCAAGGAUAUAGCUCAGCAGCACAGUGCUUGCCUGGCAAGCAUGAGGUCGUGAGUUCAGUUCCUGAUACAAACACACACACACACACACACACACACACACACACACACACACACACAGAGUAACUGACCUAAUAGAGUUAAACAAUUGCCAGAAACAAGAUGACACUGCCCCAUGCCACUCACAGGAGUUGAGAGGCCUGGCUAGAGGCAGAGGUGGAGGAGAGCUGGGUGAAUCCCAGCUCUGCACUCUGCCGGGAGGAAGACGCCUAGUUCGUUGUGUGCCAGCCAAGUUCAUCCCCUUGCCUUUCACUGGUGAAGACACUGCAGAACAAACAACUCAUUUCCUAAUCAGUGACAUGAUGCACACACGAAUGUCUGAUGCUGUUAGAGGCAGCACGACUCUCCUCAUCCAUCUACUCGGUGAUCUGUCUCACAUAUUCUUGUUGCUUCUGUCCUCCCCAACCUACAACAUUCAGUUCUCAGUGACUCAGCAGUACGCAAUGCUUUUUGUCUCCUGAAUCCUGUGACAUUCCAAAAUUAGACUCUGCCAUGGCUGAUCACAGCCGCCUUCCUUUCGACACUGGGGUAGCAGCCAACUUCGCACUGCUGCAGCAGGUGCUAACGGGCACUGCUGGCCUCUCUCUUGGUGACUCCUCUGCCUUCCCCUCAGAGGGUGGAAAUGCCCUGAGUGGCAGCCGCUAGUCACAAUCCUGCCGCCCUUCACAGAAGUCAGGAGAAAGCAACAACAAAAGAAAACGAGAGCCUCCAAUGAGGAAUGAUCCAAAGUUAAGUACCACCAGGUAUUGCUGGAGGCGAGUUCACUGGGGAUACCUGGGACCCAGCCUAGGUCAGUCAGGCACAAAGCUGCUGGAUGAUGCACCGGCUUUGCCUAUGGCACAGUUCUGCCCACCUGAUGCCACCAAAUGCACGGUUGGCCAACAAUACGGGAAAUCUACCCUCCUGGGUGAGAAACAGCUCGGCUUGUUCUUUCUUCCGCCUUGCUUGAAGAUGACACUGUUCUUCCAGACUUUGGAGACAGAGUUGUCUGAAAGCAGAAGCUUAAAAGAAAACAUCAUUUUCAUCCUGGUAGACUCUUGGGACUUCUUCCCUUCUUAUUCAAGUAAGAACCAAGAUGUGGCUUUUUAAAAAAGAAGAUAAAUAAAUGCUAGACUAGUAAGCCCCCCAGUUAAAGUAUCUGGUGUCAUUUUAUUUGUUUGCUUUGCAUACUCCUCAUACCAAGUUCAGAAUAGAACUAAUACCAGAUUUACUUUUAAAUAAACAGUGUCUUCAAAUACAUUCUACGGACACUGUGAAAUGUGGUAUUCUAAAUUUCUCUUUAAUGUGUCAGCUUUUAAAUGCAAGCUAUAUUUCUCUCUUCCUUUCUUUUCUUUUUCUUUUUGUCUUUUUGAGACAAGGUUUCAUUAUGCAGUUCAGGCUCACUUUGAACUCACUUUGUAGGCCAGACUGAACUUGAACUCACAGUGAUCCUCCUGCCUCAGCCUCCCCAGUGCUGGGAUUACAGGCAUGCACCAUUACUCCCAGCUAUACGCUAUAGUCCAGCAUAAAUUACUUAAUUACUAAUCUGAUAACAUUACUAAAUCUUCAGGUCCAAGUAAUUUUGUCGAAAUGUAAAAUGUUCAAAAUGCCUCCCCAAAAUUGGCAAAAGUAGAAAAUAAAGAUGAAAAUAAAAACAAAAGCUUUUUCUCAAAAUAUUAUUGCUGCUAACACUUUAGGGUGCUGGACAGAGCAAGGGUAGCCUCCUCUCCCACCAAAGCAGUUGGAUUCCACCCACCGCAUGUACCAGCUGAGCCCAGCAAGCUCCUCACUGUCAUUCAAUUCCACCUUUUGCUUCCACUGGCCUUCUGCAGGGCUUCCUUCCUGGCUUCUUUUACUUCUCUCCCUUUUCCUCUUCUUCAUUCCUUUCUCCCCUUUCCCCUCCCUACCCUCCUUGCUGUUUCUUUUUCUUCUCUCACUUUUUUUGUUAGUGCAUAUUGGUUACACUGACAGUGGGGAUUUGGCAGAUUUCUACAUGCACAUAACACACUUUAAUCAUUUCCCUCCAUCACCCCAACAGUACCGUCUGCUCUCCUGGUUUCAUAUACGGGGGAGGAAGGCAGCAUUCAAUAUGUAUAAUGUAUCACAUUCCCUAAAGGGAAGAGUGACUACAGUUUACAGACUCAAGCUCAGAGAAAUGCUAAAUGUUUGAGGAGAUGGGAGUACUGGUUUCUUGGAGUUGAUCAUUACACAUUGUAUACAUGUGUAGUAUCAUCACGUUGUGCCCUGAAAUAUUAGGAUUGUUAUGCAUCAAUUAAAAAGAGACCUGUGGAGAUGUUGGGACUUCUAAAAGUCAGAAAGGUGCAAUCUGAUAAAAAGAAAGGAGAGAAGAAAGAAAGACCUAAAAGUGAACAAAAAGAGAUGGAAUAAACUUUUUUCAUGUAAAGAAUGCUAAAGUCUUACCAAUCGCAUAUACUGUAAUACCAAAUACUGUGAUAAAGUAGAUGUUUGAAGCAAUGAAAACUUUUAAUCACUGUACAAGUAUUCUGUAGAUCCCUACCUAAUUUUCAUGUAAUACUCUCUCCCUCUCCUAGCCACUCCUAACAGUGUCCAAGAGUGGAAAUGCAGUUAGCAUUUUGAACACAUACUACCCUGUACUAAAUGUUGUUCUAUCACUGAUCUCAUGAGCCUGGUCCAAGCAGAAGAUAAUGACAAGAAGUGAUAAGGAUGGUCCUUACCAUACAUCUCUAUUGUGCUAGCAUAACCUUUCAAUGUGUGGUGUACAGUAGAUGCUCAGUAAAUGCCAUUCCUGUUUCCUCCUUAGAGGCAGGUCUGAUUUCAUGAAGGCCCUGCACUAAAGCUAGUGCACUCAGGGCCUGGGAACGUGGCAGGCUGGAAGCAGGUUGGCUCAGAAGCAGGACGGAGCUGUAGAGGAGGCAGUGGGAUUCAGUCAGUGCUUCCCCAGCCAAGGACAGCAGGGGCCAGCAUUUCCUCCACAGCAAGAGGGGUAGAAUAUUAAAACUUAGAUCAACCAAAUUAAUCACUACCGGUGACUGAACAGGGCUUUACGGUUUACACAAUGCCUUCAAAUAGAUUUUCUCAUUUAGCUCUUCUAACAGUCCCAUCAGGUCACUCAUUUCAUAACAGAGAAAAGUGAGACUCGUUAAAGCGAUUUAGUCAAAGUCAAACUUAGAGAUGGUGCAAGGACUCCAGUCCAGGUUUUCAGACAUCAAAUUGGGUGCUCUUUUUAUGAAACCAUAUCUGAUUCUGAGAGAUAGUUUUCUUGUUCCUUGACAUUGCUGUGUAGAUAGUAUGUUUCUAGAAUCUUGGAUCAUAUCUGCCAAAUAUGUUGAACUUGUGGCUAUAAAUUCAAAAUUUAUACCCUUGCAUGAUUGAUACUUCCAAGUGAAUUUUAACUAGUAUCUUUUCUUGGCGGGGGGGCGGGGUACCAGGGGUACCUGUGCUUGCCAAAGGUUGCUUGUGCUGCUGAGCUAAAUCCCCGGCCCACAAGUAAAUUUUAGCAACUCAUUUUUAGAUUGUGGUUUGUGAAAUAACCUGCUUAACUCUUCACAGCCUUUCAGAAAACUAACAUCAACUGGCUGAAGUAUCCAUCAUUCUUGAAAAGAAAAUGUAUCUUGUUAGAUACACUAGUGAGUUAGUCAACUUUCUAUUAUUUUACCAACUACUGCGAUAAAGCAACUUACAAAGAGAAAAAAUGUGUUUUGGCUUGUAGUUUCAGUCCAUGACCGAAAGGCCCUGCUGCUUUGGCCUGAGGUGAGACAGCACACCAUAGCAGGAAUAUGUGAAGGAGAAAGAACCCUCACCUCAUGGCUCGGAUGCAAGGAAAAGAAGCCACUGUCCACAGUCCCAGUUGAUGGGAUGGAAGCAUUUGCGCGGGAGCGCGAAAGUGAUGGGAGGGUCUUGACUGCCCCCUGGUGGCGCUAUCCUUUAACUGCGACACGCCCGUGAUGGGCCCUGUAAGAAAGGGAGCAUCAGAGCUCCGUGCGGUGACCUAAGAGCCUGGAGCAAGCGUCCCUUUCCACCACCCUUCUCCUUCUCAAGCUUGAGAAUUUGCAGCUGGCUCGCGGAGGUGGAGCAGGGGUCGUUCCGUCCUCCGGGUACUGGGGUUUCUGAGCCUGAAGAGACGCAGCGGAGAGAGCAGCUGCAGCAGAGUGCGCGGCCACGGGCUGCGCCUUCAGAGACCAAGUCUUUGCUUAGUGGCUGAGAGUGGCUGAAAAGUCCUUGGUGUGGCUUGGCUUUCACCCAGACUGCGGGGACAGGACACACCUAGAGAGCGGGGCUGAGGGACAAAGAAAGAGGAAGAAGCCUUUCACUUGU